UGUCUGGGGACCCCAGGAAAUGGGCAUGAGAGAACAGUGAGGUGUGCCCAGUGGCUUCCAGAGAAGGAAUGGCCUCCACAACCCUCACAGCAUGGGACUCACAUCCAGGCUCUCCCUAUUUCCAGCCACGUGACCUCGGGCAAUGAUUUAAUCUGUGGCUCCAUGUCCUCAUCUGCACAACAGUAAUAAUACCAACUUCAGAGGGUUGUGGGGCAGCGAGGUUAAAUUUCAUGUGACAGAAAAUGGCAAAAUAACAGUGGCUAACCCAAGAGAGCCGUUUCUUUCUCUCACAUAAAAGAAGUCUAGAGGUGAGCAGAAGAAGAUGUUCGUCAACAUUCAGGCUUUCUUCCAUCAUUGAGUCACUCAUUCAACAAAUAUUUCUUGAGCCCCUACUGUGUGCUGAAAGCUGGCCAAACACAGUCACCCAUGGCAAAGACUGGUGAACCCUGAGUCUCCUGAGAUGUCCUCUGACCCAAAUCUAUUUGGGCUCCAAAUUACGAUGGUGACAGCCCUGCUCUGAACUCCCUCAGCACCGAGUAGAAUCCCCGGUAGACAGAGGCCAAACAGCCUGGUGGUGGGGAGCUCAGGCUCUGACAUCCACAGACGGGCGCUUAGUAGGCGCUUAAUAAACAGCAGCUGCAACUAGUUCCUUGGCAUGGCAGCAUUGUAAGGAGCAGAGCCUUCCUCUUUCCUAAUCCUUUACUGGCCCUAUAAGGAAUGGCAAUGUCUAUCCUAUGCCUG
rnacentral:lncRNA from 1 species